GAUCCUCCCACCUCAGCCUGCCGAGUAGCUGGGACUACAGCAGGCUCUAGGUGGUCAACACGCCCCAUGGAUUUGAUGAACCCUUUCUCUCCCAUGUGGAUGCCGAAUUCCCCAACUGUGGAAAACCUGUAAGGUGGUUAAUUAUAUCAUCUUGAUGCAAUUUCUGAGGCUGGCAUUGGGGGGAUGCCCGUGUGAAAAAC